rnacentral:rRNA from 1 species
AUGGGCGCGUGCAACUCGUGCGAGGCGACGGCCGUGGCGGCGGUCACGGGGGCCUCCGCGGUGGGCGAGGCCACGGCGGCAAGGGUCGUGCUCGCGGACGGCCAGCUGCAGCGGUUCCCCGGGGGCACCCGGGCGUCGCAGGCCAUGAAGGCCGCGGCGGCUCCCGCGGGCGCGUGCUUCCUGUGCAGCGCCGACGGGCUCGAGCUCGGCGGCGCGGUGGCCGCGGUGGUGGGCGACGAGGAGCUGCAGCCCGGGCAGCUCUACUUCGUGCUGCCCGCGGCGAUGCGGCGGCGGGCGCUGCAGGCGGAGGAGAUGGCCGCGCUCGCGAUCCGCGCCAGCGCCGCGCUGGCCGGCGACCACGACGGCCCGCUCGUGUUCCCCGACUCGGCCAGUGGCGCCCCCGCGGCGAGGAGCGGCGCGAAGGGCGGGUCCCGCCGGCGGUCGCGGAGGGCGCCCAGCCUCGGGCGCGACUUCGUGCCGGAUCUCGGCGCCAUUGCCGAGUAG